rnacentral:rRNA from 1 species
ACUCCUACGGGAGGCAGCAGUGGGGAAUUUUGCGCAAUGGGGGAAACCCUGAAGCAGCAACGCCGCGUGACAGGAUGAAAUACCUUUGGGGUGUAAACUUCUUUUGAUCUGUGACGAUUAUGAC